AAGCCCCCAAACGCAGACCGGACGCGGCAAGCGCGGGCCAGUGCGUCUCCUCACCUGCACAGGAGAGCCUGUGGUUGGACAGUGUGUCCCUGAUCAUUCGGGAUUCCUUCGAGAACGAGCUUCUGAUGAUUGACAACCUCUCCGGCUCCAUCUUCCAUCACUACGCCUCCCCCGUGUGCGGGAAGAGCCUGCGGGACAAACAGGAGAUAAACCUGGCCGAGAUCGAGGCUUUCUCCCUGAUGUCGGAUUUCCUGUCGGACAAGUCGUCGUCCGUGGCUCUGGCCGAGGAGUUCAGCUCGGACGACAGCAACGUGCACCAAAGGAGCAGCG